UGCCUACGGGGGGCUGCAGUGGGGAAUAUUGCACAAUGGACGCAAGUCUGAUGCAGCAACGCCGCGUGGAGGAUGAAGGUCUUUGGAUUGUAAACUCCUUUUCUCAGGGAAGAGAAUGGACGGUACCUGAGGAAUAAGUCACGGCUAACUACGUGCCAGCAGCCGCGGUAAUACGUAGGUGGCAAGCGUUAUCCGGAAUUACUGGGCGUAAAGCGCACGCAGGCGGUUUCUUAAGUUUGACGUGAAAGCUCUCGGCUUAACUGGGAGAGGUCGUUGAAUACUGAGAGACUUGAGGCAAUGAGAGGGGUGUAGAAUUCCCGGUGUAGUGGUGGAAUGCGUAGAUAUCGGGGGGAAUACCAGUGGCGAAAGCGGCACCCUAGCGUUGUACUGACGCUCAUGUGCGAAAGCGUGGGGAGCGAACGGGAUUAGAUACCCUGGUAGUC
rnacentral:rRNA from 1 species